rnacentral:rRNA from 1 species
AUUUUAUUGAGAGUUUGAUCUUGGCUCAGGACGAACGCUGGCGGCGUGCCUAAUACAUGCAAGUCGAGCGCAGGAAGCUAAACUGA